rnacentral:snRNA from 1 species
GUGUUUGCUUCGGCAGCACAUAUACCAAAAUUGGAACGAUACAGAGAACACUAACAUAGCCCAUAAGCAAGGAUGACACGCAAAUUCAUGAAGCGUUCCAUGUCAAA